rnacentral:rRNA from 1 species
AACGAACGCUGGCGGCAUGCCUAACACAUGCAAGUCGAACGAGACCUUCGGGUCUAGUGGCGCACGGGUGCGUAACGCGUGGGAAUCUGCCCUUUGCUUCGGAAUAACAGUUAGAAAUGACUGCUAAUACCGGAUGAUGUCUUCGGACCAAAGAUUUAUCGGCAAAGGAUGAGCCCGCGUAGGAUUAGGUAGUUGGUGGGGUAAAGGCCUACCAAGCCGACGAUCCUUAGCUGGUCUGAGAGGAUGAUCAGCCACACUGGGACUGAGACACGGCCCAGACUCCUACGGGAGGCAGCAGUGGGGAAUAUUGGACAAUGGGCGAAAGCCUGAUCCAGCAAUGCCGCGUGAGUGAUGAAGGCCUCGGUCGUAAAGCUCUUUACCAGGUAUGAUAAUGACAGUACCUGGAGAA